CCUACGGGAGACAGCAGUGAGGAAUAUUGGUCAAUGGACGCAAGUCUGAACCAGCCAUGCCGCGUGCAGGAAGACGGCCCUAUGAGUUGUAAACUGCUUUUGUACGAGGGUAAACUCAGAUACGCGUGUCUGUCUGCAAGUACCGUACGAAUAAGGAUCGGCUAAAUCCGUGCCAGCAGCCGCGGUAAUACGGAGGAUUCAAGCGUUAUCCGGAUUUAUUGGGUUUAAAGGGUGCGUAGGCGGUCGGAUAAGUUAGUGGUGAAAUGCCGAGGCUCAACUUCGGAAUUGCCGCUGAUACUGUUCGGCUAGAGAGUAGUUGCGGUAGGCGGAAUGUAUGGUGUAGCGGUGAAAUGCUUAGAGAUCAUACAGAACACCGAUUGCGAAGGCAGCUUACCAUGCUACUUCUGACGUUGAGGCACGAAAGUGUGGGGAGCAAACAGGAUUAGAUACCCGAGUAGUC
rnacentral:rRNA from 1 species